rfam:Clostridium celatum DSM 1785 genomic scaffold Scfld521, whole genome shotgun sequence.
UUCUUAUCCAGAGAGGUGGAGGGAAAAAGGCCCUGUGAAGCCCGGCAACCUAUUUAGAAACUAAGGAAUUAAGUAAUUAACUUUAAAUUACUUAAUAAGCUAAAUGCUCUUAAUUAAUAAGAUAUAUUAAUUAGCGUAAGUAACUUAGUUACUAUUUGUGGUGCAAAUUCCUGCAGAACAUUAUAUUUUUGCAAGAUAAGAA